GAUGAACGCUGGCGGCGUGCCUAAUACAUGCAAGUCGAGCGAACGGACGAGAAGCUUGCUUUUCUGAUGUUAGCGGCGGACGGGUGAGUAACACGUGGAUAACCUACCUAUAAGACUGGGAUAACUUCGGGAAACCGGAGCUAAUACCGGAUAAUAUUUUGAACCGCAUGGUUCAAAAGUGAAAGACGGUCCUGCUGUCACUUAUAGAUGGAUCCGCGCUGCAUUAGCUAGUUGGUAAGGUAACGGCUUACCAAGGCAACGAUGCAUAGCCGACCUGAGAGGGUGAUCGGCCACACUGGAACUGAGACACGGUCCAGACUCCUACGGGAGGCAGCAGUAGGGAAUCUGCCGCAAUGGGCGAAAGCCUGACGGAGCAACGCCGCGUGAGUGAUGAAGGUCUUCGGAUCGUAAAACUCUGUUAUUAGGGAAGAACAUAUGUGUAAGUAACUGUGCACAUCUUGACGGUACCUAAUCAGAAAGCCACGGCUAACUACGUG
rnacentral:rRNA from 1 species